AUUAGCCUAUUACCAUAGGCUAUGAUCAUGUCAGAUCUCAUAAGCUUAGCAAGGGGAGGCUUGAUCAGUACUUAGAUGGAAGACUUCCAAGGAAGAAAGGAGCUUUUC
ensembl:rRNA 5S_rRNA 5S ribosomal RNA